rnacentral:rRNA from 1 species
GUGGGGAAUAUUGGACAAUGGGCGAAAGCCUGAUCCAGUCAUGCCGCGUGUGUGAAGAAGGUCUUCGGAUUGUAAAGCACUUUAAGUUGGGAGGAAGGGUAGUAACCUAAUACGUUGCUACUUUGACGUUACCGACAGAAUAAGCACCGGCUAACUUCGUGCCAGCAGCCGCGGUAAUACGAAGGGUGCAAGCGUUAAUCGGAAUUACUGGGCGUAAAGCGCGCGUAGGUGGUUCAGUAAGUUGGAAGUGAAAUCCCCGGGCUCAACCUGGGAACUGCUUUCAAAACUGCUGAGCUAGAGUACGGUAGAGGGUGGUGGAAUUUCCUGUGUAGCGGUGAAAUGCGUAGAUAUAGGAAGGAACACCAGUGGCGAAGGCGACUACCUGGACUGAUACUGACACUGAGGUGCGAAAGCGUGGGGAGCAAACAGGAUUAGAAACCCGAGUAGUCC